rnacentral:lncRNA from 1 species
CCGAACGGAAGGGCAUCCUUCGCUUUCCCGUUGGGCUCGGCGACAAACACCAUGCUGGGCUUUGGGCCCGUCACGACAUCAUGGAAGAAGAAGUGUAGGUGGGUGAACUUCUCCUCGCGAAAACCCAGAAGCGUUGGGGUUAAACUUGAGUAGUAAGUGGCCGUGACUAGAGAGAAGAGUAAUGAAAGGUUAAGGCAGAUGAAGAAAGUGGAUUUGGCCAUAUUGCUGGAGAUGCCCUAAGAAAGCAAAUAGCCCAGAGAGAGUGAAGAGUGAUUUCCCGCUACUAGCUAUAGGAAUGCUUCUCGGACUCGAUGUGAGAAUCAUUAAGUUGUGACAAACUAUAUAUAUAAUACUCAGGGUUACUUAAACAAUUAUUUUCUAAUACUGUAACUGAAGAAUUCAAUCAACACUAACUUUCCUAUUAUUUUCCCCCCAGCUAAUAAUGAAAAAACAAAAAUCUGACACAUGUCAAGAGGAAGAGAUGUGUACGAUACGAUUGAAGUGAUGCUGAAUACCGCUGGGGAAAAAACAAGAGAAAUAAGUUAAUUAAUUUUCUUUGCGAAAAUGAAAUAUAAGAAAAACUUAUGUGUAUAAAUUAUAUAUAUAAUAUUCUACUUCUUGAUCUUAACAAUGUUUAGUGUCUUAUGUGAGCGUCUGUGCACAUAAGAGGAAGAGAUGUGUACAUAUUUUGCGAAAUUGAAAUAUGAGAAUGUAUAGUGUCUUAAAUGAUGUGCACAUGUAUUCCGAUUAUUAUAAGGUGAGUCUGCGCUCAAGAGAUUUCCGUUCGUGCUGUAAGGUGGGUCUGCGGUCUGCAUCUGCCCUUACCUUUUCAUUAAUUUAUUAAUCUGUUCCGUUAUUCAAGUUCAAACAUGUGCAACUUUCUUUGUUGAAUUUUACACACAGGUGAUGGCGCAAUGGCAAAUACCAAUCACAAGUCUACACAGGUAAGUUCAGUUGCAGGAAAGCAAGAUACUCAUAUAUUAAUAAUAGAUUUGUCCCUUUUCCACAACAUGAUAAACUUAUUCUUUCUAGUAUAAAAUUUAUUUAAAAGAAAUAAUAUUAUCAAUAUAAAAUUUAUAAAUUUUAUUUAUAAAAUUAUAAAGUUCAUAUUGAUAAUAUUACAAUUAAUUUUAAAUAAAAUUUAUGCUAUAUACCAAAAAUAAGUUUAUUAUGUUUAUGUUAGAUUAAUCUAAUAAAUAAUUAUAUUGACAUAAGGAAUUUAUAUAUAAAAAAUUUAUUAAUUUGUUAAUAUAAUACAUAUUAUUAUUUAUGGAUAUUUAUAUAGUUAUACUCAUAAUUUCUUUUUCGUGCUAGAGAUAGCUACGCCCAUGAUUAGCUUCCGCCCUCGCUCUCUGCUCCGCAAUUUAUUUUGUAAGUGAAUAAAGCAUGUACAUAAGUGUUUGGUUCAUUUUAUUAUUAUAUGAAAAUAAGAAAAUUUUCUAUCAUUUUAUUUUUAUUAAAAAAUAAAAAACACUGAUCAAAAUAAAGAUCAAAUGCUAAUUUGUUUUCCGGCGAAUAUUAAUGAUAAUUUUUUGUUGCUUAAAUAUAUUUUUAUUUUCUUAAAUUUGGAAUUUGUCUUUUCAAGUCUUAAUUUCAAAUUAAAAUUUAUAUAUUUUAGUCUUUUAAAUUUGUAAAAUAUAUACUAUUUUAAUCCCUCUCAGAAUGAUUUUUGACAAUAACUUUUCACGACAAGAGGGAUAAAAAAAAUAUUACAUAUUCAAGAGAUUAAAAAUAUAUUUUAUUUUUUUAUAACUGAGAAUUAUCUUAAGAUUUUAUUUAAUACUCAAUUAGUCUAGGGUCAAUCCAUUUUGAGGUUAAAUAAUAUUUCCAUAAAUCAAACUUCAGAAUUAUUACAAAUAAUAUCUUCCAUCGCCACAACGCUUCCAAACGGAAGGGCAUCCUUCGCUUUCCCGUUGGGCUUGGCGACAAACACCAUGCUGGGCUUUGGGGUCGUCACAACGUUAUAGAUGAAGAAGUGAAGGUGGGUGAACUUCUCCUCGCGAAAACCCAGAAGUGUUGGGAUUAAACUUGAAUAAUAAGUGCCCGUGACCAGAGAAAAGAUAAGGCAGAUGAAGAGAGUGGAUUUGGCCAUAAGAGAGGAUAUCGUUAAGAACUAAGCAAAUAUAGAACAGAUGGGUACGAUUGAAGUGAUGCCGAAAACGGCGGGGGGAAAAGAAGAGAAAAUAAGUUAAUUAAUUUUUAUUUUUUUUCGAAACUGAAAUAUAAGAUAAGUUACGUGUGAUAAAUGAUUAAAUUAUAUUUAUUAAUCUAAAUAAUGUUUAGUGUCUUAUUGUUAGAAAAAUAAAAAGAAUAAAUGAGAAGAAAAUACAAAACUUUAAUCUAAAUAACAAAAUAACUUUAGAAUAUAAAAAAAAUAUGGAUUAAUAAUACAAUAUAAGAUACGAUAAAUACAAAGAAAAAUAAUUUUUAAGGAAGAAAUUUUAAAUAAUUUACAUUGAAGUUCGCAAACGUUAUUCUUAGAGAAUAAAUGUUUUUACUAGUAGGAAAAUCUGAUUACAAAUUUGCGCUCAUGUUUCAAUAUACGACAACUCGUUGGUUUCGAUUAUGAGUGAAAAAAAUGCAAAUUAUGUUUCUACUUGUGUUUCUAUCUAGAGGAGGAGAGAUAUAUAUAGACAUAGACCACCCUUAUGCAACAACACAAGAAACUCAAAGUAAAACUAACACACUUAUUGGACGUUGGAAACCACCAACCUGCAAACAAAAAACACUUAACAAACCAAAUUGACUCACUAAAAGCAAAAUCUUAAAAUAUAGGAAUUCUAGUUUUACAUAAUAGAUUCUAAAACAAAUAUUUUAUUUUAUAAAAAUAGAAUUAAUAUAAGUAAUACAUUUUUAUAAUUUUAAAGUAUAAAACAAAUAUUUACUAACAUUCCCCCAAAUAAUUAAAAAUUUUAAAAACGUUUAAAAAAACACAAUUUGUAUAGAAACAUAAAAGAAAGAGUAUGUGAUAUUGUAUCUUAGUACAAGGAACCUUCCGGGUUUGAGCCUUAUAGCUAAUGUAUAUGAACUUUCACCGAAGAAAAAUGUAUAGACUUAAUUGUUUUGAACUACAUCUUAUUUAACCGUACUUUAGUACACAACCCCUACAAUAUUGGUGCUCAUUUAGGUUCUAAUCAGUGUUUGUGCAUUACACGAUCUUACACAUGUAUGUUGUUUCAUGAGUGUCGCUUAGAGAUUAACUCAUAUCUCAAAGUGGCGGCUCCACCACCACACUCACUAAGUGAAUCCUCAAAGAGUGGUUUGUGACCCUCACCCCUACAAUAAUUGUCAUCGGAUUUAUUAAGAUGUAUUUUUUUAAUACCAAAAAAUACACAUAUGUAAAUACCACAACCUUAAUAUUGUCACAAUUUAUAAUACACCUCAUCAUAUAGGAAUGAGAAACGGAACAACUCUAUAAAAAUUACUUUGGUGUACUUUAGUCAACAAAUAAUUUCGUUGUUACCCAUUGAACUUCAUCCAUGCGAUCACCAAUUACACAUAGACAGGUGUCCAUUGUUGCAACUAAAUAAUGAGUUUUAGUCUCAUUCUCCUCAACGAUUCAAGUACUUGUUGGCGUGUCAACCCUUUUGUAAGCGGAUCCAUAAUAUUGUUUUCUGAUCUCACUAAGUCAAGAGAAAUAACACCAUGAGAAAUCAAAUUUCUAAUAUACUUAUGUCUCACUCUUAAGUGUCUUAUUUUUUUCAUUAAAAUUUUUGCUAGUAACUUUAGAUAUAGCAACUUGACUAUCACAAUGCAUUGAAAUUAGAGGUAUUAGCUUAUUCAACAACCACAAAUCACAUAACAAAAUUUUAAGAAACUCAAUCUCACUAGUAGCAGUAUCUAAAGCAAUAAUUCAUGCUUCCAUAGUAGAAUGUGAAAUAAUAGUUUGUUUAAAAGAUUUCCAUGAUAUUGCAACACCAUCUAAAGUAAAGACAUAACUAUUUUUCAAUUUUGUUUCAUCAGAAUUAGAAAUUCAAUUUGCAUUACUAAAUCUCUCAAUAACAACAGGAAAACAUGUAUAAUGAAUGUCAUAAUUAAUGGUUUCUUUUAAGUAUCUAAAAACUCUUUCUAAUACAAUCCAAUGAGAAUGAUCAUGAUUAUUAAUAUACCUUUCUAAUCUACUAACUGCAUAUGCAAUGUCAGACCUAGAAAAGUUUAUCAAAUGCAACAAAGAACCAAUAAAUUGAAAAUAUUUAUGAGAAGAAAUUCCUUUAGUCAAUUUUUUCUUUAACUUAAUAGAUGAGUCAUAAAGAAUAGAAACCAGUUUCACAUCAAAAUAAUUAAACUUCCUCAAUAACUUUUCAACAUAAUGUGAUUGGGUUAAAACCAUGCCAUCAUUUUUCUUUAUAAGCUCAAUACCUAAAAUCACAUCUACAAGACAAAGGUUCUUCAUAUCAAAAUUACUAGACAAAAAAGACUUCACAUCAUUUAUGAAAUGCAUAUUACUACCAAAUAUCAAUAUGUCAUUCAUAUACAAACAUAAAAUGACACAUCCAUUAUUAUCAAAUUGUUUUACAUACACACAUUUAUCACUAUUAUUGAUUCGAAAAUCAUAUGAAAGAACAACUUGAUCAAACUUUUUAUGUCAUUAUGUCAGAGCUUGUUGCAAACCAUAUAAAGAUUUAACAAAUUUGUAAACUUUCUUUUCUUUACCCGGUUCUACAAAGCCUUCAGGUUGGCUCAUAUUAAUUUCUUCUUCUAAUUCACCAUUUAAAGAAACAAUUUUUACAUCCAUUUGAUGAAUUUCUUACUUAAAAACACAAAUAAGUAGUGGUUCUUAAUGUUAAAGACUUGUAACCCAAGGAAAUUGACCAAGUAAAAUAUAACUUCUUAACAUAUAGGAAUAUAAGUAGUGGGAUGUUUUUAGUUUUUUACAUAAACUAAUUCUAAAAGCAAUUAUCUUUAAAAACAUAAUUCAUAAAAAAAAUAUUUUGAUUUUAAAUUUUAAAUUAUAAAAAAAUAUUUUGCAACACUUAUUAAGUGAGCAUCCGUGCAGUUUUUUUUUUUCAGUAAAUACAUAUUCUCUCUCCUGCUUUCUUCCAAUCUACACUACUUUGUAAUUUAAUUUCCAAUAUAUAUUACUUGAGACUUUCUCUCUCCUUUUUGUUUUUUUUAAUUUAAAAUAUUAUAAAAUAUAAAUAUUAUAUUAUAUAAUUUUUUUAAUUGGUUUUAAAAUUACUUAUUUAUUAAAUUAAAUUUUAUAAGUUUGUUUCUAAUUUUUUUUAAAGAAAAUGAUAUUAUUAAAUAUAAUUAUUUUUGUUUUAUUAUUUAAUUUACUUAACAUAUUUUUUAGGUGAAUAUUUUUAUUUAAAAUCUGAAUUUUCUAAUAUAAUUAUUUUUAAUAUAAUUAUAUUACUAAAUAUAAUUAGUUUGUUUAUAUCAUUAAAUAUAAUUAAAAAUGAGAAGACUUUUUGUUUAACAACAUAUUUAUAAAAAAAAAUUAUAUUGUAUUAUCAAUAAAAUACUUAAACAAUUACACUUUACUAAGGAAAAACGGAAUACAUGCCGGCAAAUUUCACAUUUUUGUUUACUUUCCUGUUCAUCUUCUUCUUCGUCCGUUCAUCUCGUUAGAAAUGCGAGUUGAAACCUUUGUUGUCAUCUUUCUCCCUAGAUGAAGACCCGACUGAUCUCCUUCAUAUUCUUACCACAUUGAUUCGGGUGACAACAAACAAUAACUACUAAUUAAAAAUUUUUAAAGAAAUUUUUAAUAUAUUUUUAUUAUAAAAAUAACUCAUAUUUAGCGGUUAUCAGUAUCUUUUAGAUAUUUUAAUUUUUUUUAGAUCUGUAAGCCAUAAAUAAUAAACAUAUCAAUUUUUAUCACUUAAACAAAAAAUAACUGCUAAAUAAAUAUUUUUAAAGAUAUUUUUAAUAUAGUAGUUACUACUCUUUAAAAUUUUAUGUUUAUGGUAUAGGAUAGAUGUAUGAAUUAUUUUUUUACUAUGUUUUUUAGUUUAUUUUAAUAUUACUAACUAAUUUUAUUAUUUUUUUAGUUAACGAACAUAAAAAAAAUAAUAUUAAAAACACAUAAAUUUAACUACAAAAGUACAUAUACAAGGUAACUAAAAAAUUAUAUUCUAAUUCUAUCUAAUUUUUUUUAUUUUUCUUUAUCUGUAUAUUUUUUCUUUAAAAAAAUAAAUAAAAAAAUUAUAAAUUUAAUUUAAUAAAUAAGUAAUUUUAAAACCAAUUAAAAAAAUUAUAUAACAUAAUAUUUAUAUUUUAUAAUAUUUUAAAUUAAAAAAAUAAAAAAGAGAGAGAAAGUUCCAAAUAAUAUAUAUUGAAAAUUAAAUUAUAAAGUAAUGUAAAUUAAAAAAAAAAGGAUAGAAAAAGUGUAUUUACUUGGAAAAAAAUCCAUAUGUGCACAUGUUAGUCAGCAUCUGUGCACUGCACAUGUAUUCCAUUUAAUAUAUUAAGGUUGGAGGGGCUGCGCCCAAGACAAUUCCGUUUAUUGUAACAUGGGUCUGCGCAAACCUUUUUGAUUCAUUAAUCCAUUCGGUUAUUCAAUUUCAAACAUGCGUAAACCUUUUUGAUUCAUUAAUUCAUUCCGUUAUUCAAUUUCAAACAUGUACAGAUUUUCUUUGAAAUUUUACUCACCCGUGAUGGCGCAUUGAAAAAUACCAACCACACGAUCAGUUCAGUUGCAGUGGGAAAAAAAUCAUAUAUAUAUAUAUAUAUAUAGUAAAAAUAGAUUUGUCCUUUUUCCACAACGUGAUAAACUUAUUUUUGGUUAAACAAAAUUUAUUCAAAAGAAAUAAUAUUAUUAAUAUAAAUUUAUAAAGUUCGUAUCAUUAAUAUUAUUUCUUUUAAAUAAAAUUUAUACUGCCAAAAAUAAGUUUAUCAUGUUUAAGAUAGAUUAAUCUAAUACAGCAAUGUAUUAAGUUGUUAAUAUAAUACAUAUUAUUAUUUAUGGAAGUUUAUAUAGAUAUACUAAAUAAUAUAUUGUAUCUUUUUAUAAAUAAAAAAAACUGUGAGUGUGUGAAAUUUAUUUUGCAAGUGUGCAAAACAUGUAAUAAGUGUUUGGUUCAUUUUAUUAUAUAUGAAAAUAAGAAAAUUUUGCUCUCAGCUUUUUUUUUUUGAAAAAUAAAAAACAAUAUUACCUAAAUAAAGACCAAGUGCUAAUUUGUUUACCAAUGAAUAUUAAUGAUCGUUUUUUAUGACCAGGAGCUAUCUGGGCUUUUAUUUGAUACUACUCAUUUUCAUUUUCAGAUGCAUGUUUUAGCUUUUCUAUUUUUUUCUUAAAAUAAUUGAUGUUUUAGAAUUGUAAAUUCUAAUUAAUAUUUUUUUAAUAUAUUCCUAUUUAAUAUUAAUUAUUACUAAUAAUGCAGGUAUCAAAGAUAUAGAAGAUAAAAUAUUCAAAAUGAGUUACUUAAAUUGUUGUUGAGAUGCUCUUAAUUAAGAACGCAAUUGAGCUUGACAAUAUACAAUAGUUUAAUAGUGUAAAAGAUAUAGCAGUUUAACCGUGGAAAAAAAUCUAUAUUAUUAUUCGUUAAGAAAUCAUUUUUACUAUAAUUUUUAAGAUAAUUCUUAUCAAAGUUAAUACAUUUAUUAUAAAGAUGAUAGUUUAAAAAUUAUUUGCUGAUCAAUCCAUACACUUGUAUUCAUGAAUUAAUGAAUAAAUUACAUUAAAUAUGUGGAGGUUUUGUGAAAUUACAUAAAUAUUUUUAUUUUUUUAAGUAUUAUAAUAAUCUUUUUGGUAAGAAAUGUUGAUGCCACAUUUUUAAACAUUAAAAAAAUAUUAGUAUUGCAUAUAAAAGAGUGUUGUCAAUGUAAAAUUUUAAAAUAUAAAAAAAAGUUAGAGUAAAAAAUUUUAAAAAUUAAUUUACGUGUAAUUUGAAGAAAAAAUUCAUGAGCGGUGUAUAAAUUUGUCUAUAUAGAAACAAGAACUUUCGUUAUUUUUCAGGAAUAUAAAUUUUUGCAAUUACUGUAUUCCAAAAUCACGUAUCUUCAACGAAAAAGUUAAGAAGGUAACAUUAGGAGGCGGCGCUAAUAAUAAUGGAAAGACAAUGACAUUAGGACAAAGACUCAGAAAUUUAAGUCUUAUAUAAUUAUUAAAGUGUCUGGUGGAUUUCUAAGCAACUUUCACACUUAGACUUCUGAGCAAAUAUUCUUUUUUGUGCAGUAAUAAUUCUCGUCUUUAGUUUUUUAAUAUAAAACAAAAAAUAAUAAUAAUAAUUUGAGUUUAAUUAAUAAUCAAUAUUAUUAUAAAUCAAUUUUAUACUAUUAUUUAAUUAUAUGUCAUGAUUAAUAUAACUUUUAGCGUUAUUAUUAUAAAAAUUGUCAAUUUUUUUUAUCUAUAAUGAAUUAUGAUCGAAGGAUAAUAUCAAAUUAAGUUAUAGUUCAUGGCAUAAUUUUAUUUUCUUUAAUAAUUUUAUAAAAUUAAUUUUAUCAUCAUUAAUUCAUUUAUAAUUUUUAUUUACGGACAUUAAAAAUAUAUAAAAAAAAAUUAUUAUUAUUAUUAUUAUUAUUAUUAUUAUUAUUAUUAUUAAUUUCAUUGAAUGAUUGUAAGUUAAAAAUAACAUUUAUUUUGAGAAAAAAAAAAUUAAAUACAAUACUCCGUAACUAUUGCGAAACGGAAGGAGUAAAUCUCAAUAAUGGUUGACGAAUACGUCGUAUUCCACGAUAGCAUCUCCUUUUGUGAAAUCAACAGAGUAAAACUUUGCCUGAGCGUAGCCACGUGCAAAACGAAAAGCCCCAGUGCCGCCAACAAUAGCCAUUUCCCUAACGGGUUCACUCAUUAUCAUGUUCCUCCCCAACACGCUGAUGGUGCUGCCGUUGAACUCUCCGUCGGUGAACGCCAUUGUCAUCACCAUCAUUAGCCCCAUCUCUUCCUGCGAUAUCGAAGUGUAAAUUCCUUGGGCCUUGCCCACCAGUUUCGAGUCAUGUUCGGGCCCCACGGUUAAAGGGUCAUCCAUCGCCACAACGGUUCCGAACGGAAGGGCAUCCUUCGCUUUCCCGUUGGGCUCGGCGACGAAUACCAUGCUGGGCUUUGGGCCCGUCACAACGUCAUGGAAAAAGAAGUGGAGGUGGGUGAACUUCUCCUCGUUAAAACCCAGAAGUGUUGGGGUUAAACUUGAAUAGUAAGUGGCCGUUACUAGAGAGAAGAGAAAUGAAAGGUUAAGGCAGAUGAAGAAAGUGGAUUUGGCCAUAUUGUUGGAAACUA